rnacentral:rRNA from 1 species
AACGAACGCUGGCGGCAUGCCUAACACAUGCAAGUCGAACGAGAUCUUCGGGUCUAGUGGCGCACGGGUGCGUAACGCGUGGGAAUCUGCCCUUUGGUUCGGAAUAACAGUUGGAAACGACUGCUAAUACCGGAUGAUGACGAAAGUCCAAAGAUUUAUCGCCAGAGGAUGAGCCCGCGUAGGAUUAGCUAGUGGGUGUGGUAAAGGCGCACCAAGGCGACGAUCCUUAGCUGGUCUGAGAGGAUGAUCAGCCACACUGGGACUGAGACACGGCCCAGACUCCUACGGGAGGCAGCAGUGGGGAAUAUUAGACAAUGGGCGAAAGCCUGAUCCAGCAAUGCCGCGUGAGUGAUGAAGGCCUUAGGGUUGUAAAGCUCUUUUACCCGGGAUGAUAAUGACAGUACCGGGAGAAUAAGCUCCGGCUAACUCCGUGCCAGCAGCCGCCGUAA